rnacentral:tRNA from 1 species
CGCUUUCUUCGAUGGUGGGUUCAGCAUUCCCAUCUUUCAAAAGGAUUGUGAGCCAGGGUUCGGUUUCUUCGGAGGCGU